rnacentral:misc_RNA from 1 species
AAGUCGUAACAAGGUUUCCGUAGGUGAACCUGCGGAAGGAUCAUUAACACAAUACAUCGCCUCUCUUACUUUCUCUUUUGGGGGAGAGAGAGGACCGAUAGUAUUUUCACCCCCUUUGUGCAAACUUGUUUUAUACCGUAUUCCCGGACAGUGCAACUUAAGGUUUUGAUGUGGGUUGAAAUAGAGGCUGCGUGCUUCUGUUUUUCACCUCUUUUGAAACCGCACUGUCUGCUGGUUUUCAACCUUUAUUUUACCCCUUGAACUGUUUAGACUGAAAUCUGAGCUUAAUUCGUUAAGCUCUGCCAUUUUUAUCAAACGCUGAACAACUCUUAGCAACGGAUAUCUUGGCUCUC